GCUGUCCGGGACGCAUUCCGGAGACGAGUAAGGGUGGCGAACGUGACAUCUCUGGGUGGGUUCGACACAUGUUACUCGGUCCCAAUCAAUGCACCGACCAUAACAUUUAUGUUUUCGGGCAUGAACGUGACACUGCCACAAGAGAACCUACUGCUCCACAGCACAGCAGGCAGCAUCACAUGUCUUGCGAUGGCAUCGGCACCAGCGCUGAAUGUGAUCGCCAAUAUGCAGCAGCAGAACCAUAGGGUGGUUUUCGAUGUGCCAAAUUCGAGGAUGGGGGUCGCCCGUGAGCGAUGUUCGUAAAAAGUGUGGGGUCUUUUUCUUCUAACUUUUGGGAAACAGUGUUGGUGUUGAUUAAAAGCAGAAUAUAUCUGAUUAAUAAUGAAA
rnacentral:lncRNA from 1 species